GCCGCGCGCCCCUGCCCACACGGGAGCAAGAUGGCGGCGCGCAGGGCGGCGAGCGGCAGCUGAGGGCUGCGGGGUCCCCGCGCAGGCAGCUGAGCAUCUUCCUUUGGCUGAUCCUGCUCUCCUGGAAGACUGAAUGCAAGAAUUGUGUCUUAGGAGAGUAGAAAUCCAGCACAACAGGUACCACAGCUGGAAGCAUGCAGUGGAUUUGUCAGAGAGCUGGGGCUUGUUCCUCACGUUUGGAGAGCCGACUGAAGGGCCUGCUGGGCUUCGUCAGAUGGCAGAGAAGGCUUCCUGCUUGUGUCAGAGCUAUUUACAGUGAGACGGGGAAAUGGGAGAAAAGCUACGGGCUGGAGACAAGAAGAAGAGUGGAAAGUUGGUGGCUGCCAAGAAUAAAGGAUCAGUUCUGCAGAAUUUCAGAAACUGAUAAAUCAAGACCAAAGUUUUAUGUGCUUUCUAUGUUCCCAUAUCCUUCUGGAAAGCUCCACAUGGGCCAUGUUCGUGUCUACACCAUCAGUGAUGCCAUAGCUCGGUUCCAGAAGAUGAGAGGAAUGCAGGUGAUAAAUCCAAUGGGAUGGGAUGCAUUUGGUUUACCAGCAGAAAAUGCUGCAGUUGAACAUGGCCUUCACCCUGCAAGCUGGACACAGAGUAAUAUACAACACAUGAGGGAACAGUUUGAUGCACUAGGGCUGUCUUUCACAUGGGAAAGGGAAAUAACCACUUGCUUACCAGAGUACUACAGGUGGACCCAGUACUUCUUUCUGAAGCUGUUUGAAGCCGGGAUGGUGUAUCAAAAAGAGGCCUUGGUUAAUUGGGAUCCAGUGGAUCAGACUGUCCUAGCUAAUGAGCAGGUGGAUGGCAAUGGCUGCUCCUGGCGUUCGGGAGCAAAAGUGGAACAGAAAUACCUCAAACAGUGGUUUAUCAAAACUACUGCUUAUGCAAAGGCUCUGUCUGAUGCUUUGGCUGAUCUGCCUGAGUGGUAUGGGAUAAAGGAGAUGCAGGCCAAUUGGCUGGGCGACUGCACUGGCUGCUACCUCGACUUCUUGCUAAAGGUUAAUGGUAAAGUAGUAGGAGAGAAGCUUGCAGCUUACACCUAUACACCUGAAGCCAUUUACGGAGCUUCCCAUGUAUGUAUCACAGAGACUCACAGACUGCUGCAUGGCAGCAGCAGUCUCAAGGAAGUCUUGCAGAGAGAUUUCAUCCCUGGGAAAGACUCACUCACGUCUGUGACAGCUGUGAAUUUGCUUACAGAGCAGGAGAUUCCUGUAGUCAUCUCAACAAACACCACUUUUGAGAAUUACCUUGAUACUAAAAUAGCGAUCCCCAGCACUAGUGCAGAAGAUGCUGCCGUCGCCAGGAGCCUGGGCAUAGCUUUCACUGAAGUCAUUGAGACGCUGCCAGAUGGCUUGCAGAAAGUAACGAACUCUGCAGAGCUCACAGGCAUGACUCGGCAGGAGGCUUUCGAGGCUGUUACCCAGCAGGCCAGGCACAGCAGCCUGGGUGGAGAGCUAACAAGUGACAAGUUAAGAGACUGGCUAAUCUCUCGCCAGCGCUACUGGGGGGCUCCUAUUCCUGUCAUUCACUGCCAGGCCUGCGGCACUGUCCCUGUGCCUUACGAAGACUUGCCUGUGGUGCUGCCCAAGGUCACCACCUUCACAGGCAAAGGAGCCUCACCUUUAGAAACUGCUCCAGAAUGGGUGAACUGUUCCUGCCCCAGGUGUAAGGCAGCAGCACGGCGAGAAGUGGAUACCAUGGACACCUUUGUUGAUUCUGCUUGGUACUAUCUGAGGUACACAGACCCUCACAACAUGGACAGGCCCUUCAGCAGGGAGCUGGCAGACUACUGGAUGCCUGUGGAUCUGUACAUUGGGGGCAAGGAGCAUGCCGUGAUGCACCUGUUCUAUGCCAGGUUCUUCAGCCACUUCUGCCACAGCCUGGAGAUGACCAAACACAGGGAGCCUUUCCACAAGCUCUUGGUUCAAGGUCUUAUCAAGAACCAGACGUUCAGAGUACCAACAACAGGCCAGUGUGUGAAGAGAGAAGAGGUUGAUCUCACUGGAGCUGAGCCACUUCACCUGAAAACUGGUGAGAAGCUCCAAGUGACUUGGGAAAAAAUGAGCAAAUCUAAGCACAAUGGAAUAGAUCCUCAGGAAUUUGUGAAGGAGUGUGGUAUCGACACCCUGCGUCUCUACGUGCUGUUUGCUGCUCCUCCAGAGCAAGAUAUUCUGUGGGAUACUAAAACUGAUGCUAUGCCAGGUGUUCAGAGGUGGCAGGCACGCAUCUGGGCACUUGUAACCAAACUGAUUGAGGCAAGGACUUCAGGAACCGUGCCCAAGCCCGAGCUGCUGAACGAGAGACAGAAGAGUGAAGCCAGAAAGAUCUGGGAGCAGAAGAAUCUGGUGAUUUCUGAGGUGACAGAGUACUUCACCAAGGAUCACUUGUUCAACGCUGCCAUUUCCCGCCUGAUGAGCCUCACUAACGUGCUGCAGCAAGCUCCUCAGCCUCUUAUUUCCCACAGCAGGGAAUUUGAAGAUGGUUUGGCUUCACUCUGCAUUAUGGUUUCACCUAUGGCUCCACACAUUGCAUCAGAGCUGUGGAAAGGCUUGGCCCACAUGCAGAAUAAACUUUGUCCUCAUUAUCAGUGGGAUGCUGACGUGCUGCAUCAGUCCUGGCCCAAAGUAGACCUGGAGUACCUUCAGCUGUCAGAUGUUGUGGAGAUGUCUGUGCUGAUCAAUAACAAAGCCUGUGGCAAGGUUCCUGUGCCUCAGCAAGCAGCUCGCAAUUGCCAAGAGGUCCACAGGCUCGUGCUCCAGAGUGAGCUUGGAGCCAAGCAUCUGCAAGGCCGCACCAUCAAGAAGGCUUUUCUGUCUCCACGCACUGCCCUCAUCAACUUCUUGGUGCAGGAAUAGCAGAGCCUCUGCUGGGCUCUGGGAGAGAGCUGGAACCUUUCCAGAUGAAGCCAAGUCACAACUGGCAGUUACGGCCCUGGAAGUCUGAUGCUGUUAAGUCAGGUUGCUGCUACGUCGUCGCUCUGACCUGGAGAAGUGUGCAGAAUUCAUGUUUCUUACUGUCCCAGUAAGGUGCUCUUUGUCCCUGGGAGAGGGAGAAAGAAGACCUGCUUGAUUGGAGCAGAAUGUAAAUGUGCUAAAGUGCACAGGCUUUAGUGCCAGCCUCUUGGAAUGCUGCCUUGGCUCAGUGCAGAGGCCUGAGUGUGAUUCCAGGAGGGAACAACUGCACCAAGAACCUGCUCCAGUAGAAGUUAGGUGCCAGCUGUGCUCCCUGUACCUUGUGUGUGGGUACCCUACUGUGAACAAACAGCUUCAGGUGGAAGAAAAUGCUGCUGCAGAGCGUUCAUGUCAAAAGCUUGUUUAGCCCUGGCCUUGGGCAGAGCAGGUAGCCAGACUGGGGUGGUUUGAUCUAUUUCACAGACUGCAGAGCCCAGCUAAGAAAAAGAACAGAUUAUUCAGCCAAGCCCUGCCUAGCCAGGAUCCUUCCUUGCUGGCAUGCAGCAGAGAUUCAACUUCAGCAGAAUAGAGGAGAAUGGAAGUUCCUUCCUACAGGUAAUGUCUGCUUUUGGCUUGAAGACCUGAUGCUGAGCUGCAGCCGUUUGGGUUUGAUGGGAGUGGGGUUUACGGCUUGAAGCAGAAGCACAAAGCUGACUGCAGUAGAUCAGGGGCACUCGUUAGCACGUCUGAAGCAUAGUAGGAGGAGAAAUGAAGCGGAGCCUUGUCUGUGUGCAGGAGGGGACAGGAUCAGCACUCUGAGCUGCAGCCCAGAUGACACAAGAGAUCUUGCCUGCCCUGCAGAGGAAAGGUGGGAUUUUUCCCUUUCCUGCUGAACUGACUUUCCACUACCACAAAGCAUUCUGCAGUUCCCUGCCCCUGCCUGUUCCAGGAGCCCAGGUCACACACAACCUCCCUGUCUUGUGGCACUUCCCUUGCUCAGGCAAAGCCUUGGGUUGGACAGGUUCAGGUUUGGCUUUAGCCCUGGAGAGCUGCAAACUACCAUCAUCUUCCAUACAGUGUGAGCUGCAGGUUUGUGUGUAGUGGGAGCCUGAGCAGGCCUUCCUUUGCUUCUGAGGUGCUGGUGUCUCUGGGUAGUGGGGUUUGGUGCUGCAGAGAGGAGGCCUGGUGGCUUUUGUUCUGCCUGCCAGCCUUUAGCCACAAGAGACUGGAACCUCAGGCAGUCAAGUGUAUGGUUGUGUUUGUUAUCAGGUGAGCGUGGCAGAGUGCUGAGAACCUCAUCAGAAUUACCCCCCAGUAUAGCACACCCAGCACCUCUCCCCGGACGCUCGCCUGCACGCGCCGCACCAGUCUGCUGCCUGCUCCAGGCUGCUGAUGUGGGAAAAGCUUACAAAUAAUGAGUUGGGCAUUCACAAUCUGCUUGGGCUUGUGCCACUCAGUCUGGGAGACUUGGCCCUAAGAAAUGCUUUUAUUUGGAGAUGCUGGUCCUUUUCAGUGCAAGUCUAAGCAGAACAGACACUGACAGGAACAGAAGAGCACAAACCUUUGUGCUUUCUGGGCUGGCUGCAAGGGGAAGGCUCAGGCUCUCAACUUCCUUAUCUGGCAGUAGUUCUUUACACGUGCCAAAGCUGAGCACAAAGAGUCCAAGAUUAUCCCAGUCCACUCAGCAGAGGAGGUGCCACAGCUGCCAGGCAAGGGAAGCUGCUCCACUAACUGCUUGGUGCCAAGUGAAACACACCAAGUGCUAGGAGCUGUAGGUGAUGCAGUGUGCCGACCAUCAACCGCAAACGCAGCAGCAGCACCGGAGAGAGAGUGGCUUGGUAAAGGAGUAGGACACGGUGCUGGCAGCGGCAGGCUGGGUUUGUUUCUGGUGAAGGGAACUGGCAUCACAGGAAAUUGUUUUCUGCUCUAGGAAACCAAUCGUCUUUAAGCAGCAGCGUAAUUAGCAAAUCUUACUGACUGCUGCGGAGCAGAAAGAGCAGCGUGCAGCGCAGUGCUGUGCUGGCUAAGCCAGGGGAGCAUUGUGGAUGAAGAACCCACCCCUGGAAGCUUUCAGAACUGAAUAUUUUCCUGCAGUACGUCUCCAUCCCUGGAGAUCCGUGUGGCGGGGCGAAAUCGCAGGGGUGCAAUAAACAUACAAACUUCCUGAUUUUCCCACGUGAAA